rnacentral:rRNA from 1 species
GACGAACGCUGGCGGUGUGCUUAACACAUGCAAGUCGAACGGAAAGGCCCUGCUUUUGUGGGGUGCUCGAGUGGCGAACGGGUGAGUAACACGUGAGUAACCUGCCCUUGACUUUGGGAUAACUUCAGGAAACUGGGGCUAAUACCGGAUAGGAGCUCCUGCUGCAUGGUGGGGGUUGGAAAGUUUCGGCGGUUGGGGAUGGACUCGCGGCUUAUCAGCUUGUUGGUGGGGUAGUGGCUUACCAAGGCUUUGACGGGUAGCCGGCCUGAGAGGGUGACCGGCCACAUUGGGACUGAGAUACGGCCCAGACGCCUACGGGAGGCAGCAGUGGGGAAUAUUGCACAAUGGGCGGAAGCCUGAUGCAGCAACGCCGCGUGCGGGAUGACGGCCUUCGGGUUGUAAACCGCUUUCGCCUGUGACGAAGCGUGAGUGACGGUAAUGGGUAAAGAAGCACCGGCUAACUACGUG